GAGGGGAGGGGAGGCCUUAUUGCUCUCUUCCAAUGUCUGAAGGGUGUUUACAGCAAGAGCCGGGUUGGUCCCUUCUCACUGGUGACAGGUGACAGGAGGAGGGGAAAUGGCCUCAAGUUGAGCCAGGGUAAGCUUAGGUUGGAUAUCAGGAAAAACUUCUUUACUGAAAGGGUUGCUAAUCACUGGAAUAGGCUCCCCAAGGAGGUGGUUGAGCGACCAUCCCUGGAUGUGUUUAAAAACCGUUUGGAUGUGGUGCUCAGGAACAUGAUUUAGCGGAGGGUUGUUAGAGUUAGGGUAGUAUGGUUAGGUUGUGGUUGGAAUUGAUCUUGAAGGUUUUUCCAACCUGAGCAAUUCUAUGAUUCUAUGAUUCUUCUGACUUCAACACUAAAACAAGAAGAAAAAAAUAAAACAGGAAAAAAGAUCAUAAUAGAGUACUUAAAGUGUAAGUACGUCUUUAAUUUCUAUGUCAUCACAGGCAGCUCUUCUGUAAACCUGUCAUAUUCCCUAAAAAAUUCAACUUGUCAAUCAAUACUGAGGUGGGAGUACAGUUUCCGUGACCCAGUGUACUGUUUGUUGACAUGUACAUUCAUGCACAGCGAUAUAACUACAUAUGCCCUAGCACAGUAAUACCUAUAAGUAGGCCACACAUUUCAUAUCAUCCUAAGCAACUAUGUCCCAUUUACAGGGGCAAGCAAAAGUACUAUUUUUGCCUUUCCUCUAAGUGAUGUAGGAUACCUAGUAUUAUGCACAGAGUCAGCAUGGAUUAUUGCAGUUCUUUUUCUAAAAUGGAAUCAUUUUCUUCAAAUCAGUCUAGAUCAAACUUAUCACCUACCUGUUCCCUAGGGACAGUUUUGCAAACUAACUGGCCUGAGCUGGUUACGAAUUGCAUACGGUUUCAGCUUUCUUGACUUUCAGUGUUUGUUUUAGUAUAUUUAGGAGUUAAAGUGUGUCCUCUCCUCUGCCACAGACCUUGGUUCUAGGCAACCACUUAAAAUGGACCUUUUUAUGAGCUGCACUUCAUAUCCUGAAUGCUUGACAAUUGGGUCUGGCUUGCUGAAGUGCUGAGUUCUCUCAACUGUAGCAGACCAAUGUAAAACACAUUCUCUGUGGUAUGCCUGGAAUUGUCUCAAACACCUAACAAGAUGAGACCAUAGCCAUAACAAUAGGCUGAAAGCUGAAGACAUGGUUGGAGAAGGGAACCCUGUGGAGGAGAGGUGACCUUGCUCUGUCCAAAUCUCCCAUGUUCACUGUAGAAUUUUUGACUGCAAACUUGUUUGUGGUGAUCUUUUUGAUGACAAAUCACAUAAGUCUAGCAGGCAUAGCAUAAAAAGAUGCCUAAGAGAAGAUCUGGGGGGAGCUGAAACUUCAGUACUUUGGAACUUCUGGACAAAUGUUCUCACAGACUGAGGAAACCCCAAUUGUCCUAUUGCCUGGACAAGUGCUGGAACGUGGACUGGUGAUUUCUUUUACCAUCCAUCCCUCUGUCUCCCCCCAACACCCUCCAGCUCUCUCUCUUCUUUCUUUUUCCCACAUAAAGUUGUUAUGUAAUGCAAGGCUUAUUUUGAUUUCUUAUGAAGUCACACACUUUGCUGCACAGCUUAGAUAGAUAUAACUGUAAGAGUGCCAGUCUUCAAAGAUAAUCAUAGUACAGAGAUUCUCAUUAAAAUUGAUGACUGUGUUUGGACCUUGAGUAUCAUUUUACCUUAAUCUAGCCAGAUGGAAUUUAUGAAUCUGGUCACCCUUCCCGCUCUUCGUAGAUGGGAUGUAACAUCUUAAUUUGGCAGAGUUGGCAGGAUCUCCUUGAAAGGUCUGGAGGCCACCUUUCAGCUACACACCAGGAAGGCUAUAAACUAGGAGAGGUGUGAGGGAUACUGAUGUUCCACCUCAUAAGUGCAGGCAGGGAGUGUCAGGAAGCGACCACUCAGCUGUACACCAGGAAGGCUAUACUCUGGAAGAGGUACAAGCAGUGGCAAGACAUAGCUGCCCCAGGAAAAGCCAGUGCUUAACUGCUCUCCUGUUACUGAAAUGUUGGAAAAGUGUAAUGCAUGUCCUUCCUACUGGAAAUGACUUGGAUUCAGAGCAAUUGUCAUGGUCCUAGUGCUGUAGCAGAAAGAAUUGCAACCGUUCCUAAGGAACAGAAAAUGUGGUUGGGAAAAGAAAAAGCCAUGGUGUGUGCUAUCUUAGGAGUGGUUCUGAUGGUACCUCAAAAGGAUAAGUAUUUCAACAGACAAGCAGAAGGGGAAAUAAAUAGGUUCCUAAAGGAUUUGGUGAAAAAGUUGCAGGAUCAAUUAGGCACAGAACAUAAGAGCAGUGAGUGUUUGCACACAGCCUUGUGUGACACACUAGAUCCGGGAAAAAAAUCUGCAGUCUAAAUUAGAAGAAAAGGAACAAGAGAUAGAUCUUAACUUAGUCUCAGGAAGCAAAGCAGGAUUUUUGAAUUUGGUCAAAUGACUGAUAAGCAGCGGCUUGAUUCAGGAACUCUAUACCUAAUUAAGGAGUUAGAAAUGAGUCAGGAGUUAUUUUACCUUGAGAAUGAGGAGGGAAUUAUGAGGUCUUUGGUAAAACAGAGAAGACUGAUAGUGGCCAGUGUGGAUAGGCCCUACACAAAAGUUAUAAAGUGACUACUUGAAUGAAUUUUGAGUGGUACUCUGGGGGUAUCAAGAGUGAAAAAUAAAAGGCUGAGUACCAAACCAUAGUAGUCAUUCUAGUUUAUCUGUGAAGUGUUAAAAUGUUGCCAUAAUAUGAUAUAGAAAAAUCCCCAACCUUCUUGGAUUUGGAGAGGUCCUUUCAUCUUCCACUAUAGCAGUGGCCCAGGGACACUGCUGGUAUACACCUCUGAAAUAAUUACCUUGUUGGUAGAUUAAUAGUUCAAUUUCUUCUAGAGUUUAUAUGCACUCAUAACAAUAGUGCAGAAAAGAAUUGCAUUAUUAUAUACUAGUCACACUUCUUAUAAAAAACAUCAGUACGAUUGUGCAAAGAGCCAUAUGAAGGGAAAACAAAAGAGGUACACUUGGGAGUUGAUUCUCAUCUGGCUGAUGAACAGACACCAUGUAAGAAAGCUAUGUGCCCCUGUGAGAUUACUUUUAGAAAGCAGACAGAAUAAAGCUACAGACUAAAAUCUGAAAGAUUCGCAUUAUACAUGCAACCGCUUUUUCUUGAACAACCUCAUUGCAAUUCUCUUAUCUAUUUUUAUUUAAAACAUGCAAAUGUAGUGUUGGAUUGAUGAUUGCAUUUAAAAGAGAGAAAAUAAUAUCAGACCCUCAAAGAAAAGAGCUGUGGUUUCAGACUCUGAUUAGGUGCUAGAGAAAAUAAAUAUUUUAAUAAUAAUGAUAAUAAUAAUGAACAACUAACCAAUCACUCUCGUAACAUUAUACAUUUACAUGUAGCAGAAUGUAAUCUGAUUUGCAUGACUUCCAUCUGCCAGUGUCCCGAAUGUUCUACAAGGGCUCUCCAAAAGUAAUGCCUCCUAUUUUAUUAUGUUGGUCCAUAACACUAGAGGUGAAAGUUGGUGGUAUGGCAGUAGAGGUUGAACCUGCCUGCCAAUAUGCUUUUACAUUUUGUUGCCAUGUGACAGAGGGCAGCAGAGGGACACUCUGACAUGGAAGUGUGUAUGAAGAAAAGGUGUCACUGAAUUCCUCCAUGUGGAAAAAAUGGCAACAACUGACAUUCAUGGAUGAACAUUUGAAUUAAAGUGAAUCAAAAUUUGAGUUUCAUAUUUUUAAUUAUUUAGCAUUAUUUUUACUAUGUCUUUGCGCUACUUGAUUUCAGACAGCAACAAAGCUGGAGAAGUAUGAAAAUGUCUAUUUUGGCUUUAGUUCAGACAGUUUACCCUUAAAUCUAUAACGAUUCAUAAACCUAUUUGUUUCCAAAUACAUACUUCUGUCCUUUACUGAUGGAAAAAAAAGGCAGGCAUUCAGACCUUCUUUGGGAAAGAAACAGCGCAUUUCAGUAAUAUUACGUAUGCAAAAAUAAAUCGGUGUAGGAAAAUUUCAGUCAAAAUCUUGUGUAACUUUAAACAAAUUCAUUUCAAUAAUCAAAUAAAUUUGCCUUUUUUUUUUUUUUUUAUACUGCAUAUAUAUCACAUGGACAUGUUUUUUUUUUCUUAUUAUCUUAAUUUCUCUAAAUUAAUUCUGUCACCAUUAGGGCUAUUACAUUUUUUUUCAGCAGGUGGAGUGUAGCCUCUUAUAGCCAGCCUAUAUAAUUGUGCUUCUCCAUUAGCAAGGUGCAGAGUUUCUCUGUGCCCUUUUUCUGUAUAUGUUACAGCCACAUAGAGAUGCUCCACUAUCUCAUCAAGUACACUAACCAGUGUGACUUUUGAUGGUUAUGAUAUCAUGUUUUUAUGUAUUUUUGUAAUAUUUGAUGAGAAGUUAUGAACUGUAAGAUAAUAGCUUAUGCAUACUCCAGUUUAUAAUAUCGUUUCCUCCACAAUAAAUCUUUUUAAAGUGGCAUUACAAAAAAAAUAUAAAUGAUAAUCUGUUUAUGAUGAAAAUAUCUGUCUAAUCAUAUACACAUAUCUAUACAUACACUUGACAUGACUUUCAAAUAUGCAUAUGCCAUCAUUUCCCUCUUUUCAGUGGGAUUCUAUCACUUGUUUAUAUUUUGGCACUUGUAGAGGAAUAUCUUUAUUCUAUGAUUUUGCUUUUGCAAUAUUUAAUUUUUCCUUUGCUCCUUGGAUUUGUAGAGAAAAUGAAGAUAGAACAUAAAAAAGAAAACAGAAAAGAAAGAAAAUUAACAUGUGACAAACUGUGUCUUUCCAUUUAGAAAAAUCAGCUUCCAGACAGUGGAAUACAAUGUGAUAACUGUUUAUCAAGUUAAACUGUUUUCUUUUUGUGAAGCGCAAGCCUAAUUACAGAUACCUUCUACAUACGGAUAGCAUUUGCUGAAAUAAUAUUUCUAAUACAUCAAUAUGAUUAAAUAUAAAUAUAAAAUAUGGUUUAAUUUCUAUAUAGUCAUGUAUAUAUAUAUUUUUAAUCCCGCUUUCAGAAAGCAGGCAACGAUUAUGCUGGAAGCUAUCUCCUGGAUGAUCAAAAUGCAGUUCUUACCUACACAAGAAAUAUGCCUCUAGAGUUUUCCAUGAUCUUAGCAAUCCUCAUCAUUAAAUAGCUUGAGGAUUGAUUUUUUUGUUGUUGGUUUUUUUCCUCCCCACAACAUCUAUUAGAAAGCUACUCUAGAAUCUCACCACUCUUAUAGUCAGAAACCUUCCAGUUUCCAGCCUACAUUUAUUUGUGUCCAAAUUACACCUACUUGUUCCUGUGCCAACAUUGUCCAGUAGAGUAAAUAGUUCUUUUCUCUGCCUACUGUUUACCAGCCUAUUGUGUUUUUAGAGGAUAAUUAUUUCCUGUAUCAGCUUUUGUUUCUGCUAUACUAAACAAGUAGAAAUUGUGCAGCUAUUCUCUCAAAAAGACUUCUCCCUAGUAAUUACUGCAGCUCUUUACCUAUUUAAUCUUUCAUGAUCAUGAUGAGAAAAAUCUGUUUGAGAUCCUUCAGGUGCCUUUAACUAAAGUACAGCUGUUUCACCUUUCUCUACAAGAAAUAUUGUAAGUGGCCCGUCCUUGCAUGACAUUUAUUUUCUCAUUGUUGUAUCCCACUGACAACUUAAUAACUACACAGUCACCUAAUACGCAUACCCAAACCUAUCUUCUAUGUUGCUAGCAACUGAUAUGCUUCUAGUUUAUAGUUGUCCUUUUAUUAAUCUUUCUCUUGCCAACAUUACAUGUUUCAAAGAUAGUUUAACUGUGUGUAUUCUCAGUGUACUUCUUCCAAAGGUAUUACAUGUUUUGGAUAAGUUGAUGCCAAACAUAAUAGAAAAAUAUAAAGAAAUAGCAUUGUGAGACAAAGGGAAAUAUCACACUGAAAGCACUGGGAAUGAUCAAGGAAUAAGAAAUUUUUGGAAGUAUGGUGUGAGAGAACAUAGUGGUAUAAAUGCAGAAACUCCCUUAGGAAUGUGGUGGUUUUGUUGCUGCUGUUUGUUUGUUUAUCUUAUGUACACAGAGAUGUUUGAAUAUUGUAUUUUAUUUAGCUUGGAGAAAAAAUUCUCAGAUGUACUAGAGCAGGAGAACCCAAUCUCACUUACAGAAUCCCUCAAUGUGGCAUGCAAGGAUUAUGGGGUUUUGCAGCCCAACACCUCCUCAGAGAAGCUGGGGAAAAGCCUUGGGUUUACAUUCACUGCCAAAACAGCUGAACGUCUUUUCUGGUGUGGAACUAAAGCUUAACGCACAGCUUCUGGCUACUGCUUCUACCAUGAUAGUGGUAGACAACUAAAAGAAAACAGUAGUGGUAUCUACAGCAAAGUACUUCUGGUAGUCUCUGUGGUAGACAGGUCUGUAGAGGCAGUAUUAUUCACAAGUCACUUCCUGGAAGUGGUUUGAUGUACCACUGAAAUAUGCUCCUUACAUGACUGUUUCAAAUAAAUUAAUAUUUACUUAUUUGCCUCAAUACUUUUAGAGUUGUUCACAGUAAAAAGCCUUUUGAUGCUAUCUGGUUGUAAAGGCUCCAUCUUAAGGGUCACGCAUUUGAAACAGUAUUUAUACCUAUUAGCUUUUAAAAACCACUGAGAUUUUCAGAAACAUCUUAAUGAUUUUGGAGUAUUAGUUCAAGUAUCUCGGAAUUUGGAAACUUCAAAUCCCUAAGAAAAGGAUUUAAAUUUCCUUAUUUUGUCAUGGAAGCCAGGAAUUUUAAACAGCUAUGGUUGUAAAAUUACAGACAGUAGAAGAGUUGUGCAUUGUCACACUUUCUAGGAAGAGCUUCUCUAUUUAUUAGAAAGAUGAAGUAGGCUUUUAAGGGAUUUUUUGGAAGGAAAAAGAUAAAUCUUUUAAAAAUGCGUUAUAAUUUGUUUUUUUUUUUUUCUUUUUCUUUCCUAAGAGUACUAGGACAAGAAAAUUUAUUCAGAAAGGAAUUAAUUGCUGGCAAGCACAGCUUAAUAGAAUUCUUGCAAAAUCUUUUUGUCAGUUUUAACGUUGAUGAGAAUCUGCCUAUUGAAAUGGGAAUUUGUAUUUAUGCAGGAUUAUUUUAUUAAGUUACUAAAAGGCAGUUCUACUUAAUGUUUCCUCCUUGGCUGUUGCUGCGUAAUACCUUCUUUGAUGUUGAAGUGGUUAAGUGAACAUGUUACAUUUUUGAUGUGUUUCUAGUCAUGUUUUAAUGUGUUGUAUUCUGUUUAGACAAUCCCUGUGGAGCUGAUAGCUGUGGACUAAUGACUGGUAUACCAAGCAGAUAAGCUGUGGACAUUUUUCAGUGUUAACAUAAUGACUUUCAUCAAAGGAGGAAGAAGUCUACUUAUUUUUCAUUUUGUUAAGCAAGUGGAGAAACUCCUCCAGACGUAGUCGCUGCAGAAGCCUGGGGUCAGUGCACAGCUCGCUGCCUGCGGGAACCACCUUCUUUACAGGCUUCUGAAAAAUAAGCACAUUGCUCAGCCAUGUUAGGUCUUUCAUGUUGCGUGCUCCACACUAAAGAAAUAAGCUAGCAUUGUGAAAGAGACUGCCUGGUGACCGUCCCACCAUCUCUGUUGCUCACAGGAAACCACUACUGCUGCACUUGGGACAACACUGAUUCUUCUGUGUCUGAAGUUGUGGCUUCAAAUUGCAGUAAAGCUGAUAAAAUAACCAGCUGCUGUGAAAAGAAGUGUCCUCAUACUUCCCCUCUUGCAUGUAAUCUCCCUUGUGCUAGCUGUGGUCUGUGCCUGGUCCCAUGGUAAACUGGUGCAGGGAGAUGGCCAGCAACAUGCCACCCUCCUCAAAGAAGUAGUUCUCAGUGUGGAGUUGUCUUAGUCAAGUUUGUCAUUAAACAGCAGCAAGCACAAGAAACUACUGAGCAUUUUUUUCACAUGUGCAGGAAAAGAUUGAGGUUGUUUUAUUAUUUUACAAACCAAAAGAUCCAAAAUACCCCGUAUGGUAUUUUAUUACAUUAUCUCUUAUUCCUUGGAACCUAUCAUAGAAGGCCUCAUAUUAAAUAAAUAAAUAAAUAAAUAAAUAAAUAAAUAAAUAAAUAAAGGGAAUAUAGCAAACAAACCAAACCAGUAGGCUAGGAGCUGGAAAACAAAACCAUCUAAAUAUAAAUAAAUUGUGGACACCUUGUAACACAAAAUUCCUACGCAUUGUCAUCUGUUGAUUAUUACAGUUUCAUUUAGUUUGGAGUUUGCUUUAUUUUCAUGCAACUUUUGUCUAUCCAAAUAAUUACAGUUGUAUUGCUGUAUUAGUUUGAAUCUAGUCAUUGAGACAAAUAGAAGAGCCCAUCUCUGUCAUUCUGGCCAAUAUUACAUUCUAUUACAUAAGAAAUGGGAAUUAAACAUAAGAUAUGGGAAUUAAAUCAAUUUUAAUGCACCAUUGUAAUAAGAAGACAAGUGUAGUUCUAGAUUGCAAUUAUGGAGAUAAUUACAAUUUCAUUGGUAUUGCUUAGGUUUAAGAAUGCAAAGUUUACCUUGGGUGAACAUUUCAUUAUCUAGGAUGAAUCCAAGCUAUUUUUCUUCUAAAUCAUAUCUUGGCUUAUUUCCUAACUUUGACUGUUUAAUAGAAACAUAGAGAAUUUUACAGGUAGACUAUAUCAAAACAGGCUAGCUGGUUCAACUCCAAAUUACUGUACAGUGAUUUGAGAAAAAACAUUAAUUUUGAAGGAGCUCUGGAGGCUGAGUAUAAAGAUUAUUAAACAUAAGUUUUAUAUAUGCAGAAAAAUUGCUUUUGCAUGAAUUCACUUUUAAAAUGUUAAUAUAUGCAUAAGAAAAUUGUGUUUCUUAAUCUCUGAAGAAACACUUAUCACUAGGAACCACUUAAUUCUUUUCCUGCGCUUGAUUUAUUAGCUUAUGAAAUUAUGCUAAUAGUUUGCAUGCUAAUGGUUUUGGGGCUCAAAUGACCUGAUUUUAAUAAUGAAGUAAUUUAUGCAGUAAAUGCAGUCAUCAUCUAUGAAUCUUACUUAAAAGAACAUAUCAGUGAUUACUUAUGCUAAAACCAAAUGCCUGUCAAUACGGCACACAGUAUUUGUCAUGACAGGGAAAUGGGAUAUGCUCAGCCCAGUACACCCUUUAGGAUGGUUGGGUCCCACACUGCUGAGCUACACCAAGGCCUGCAACGACAACUCUCAUAACAGUUUAUGAAACUCAUUGUCAGCCAACUUCCUUGCAUGAACACCUUGGAGGGAAAAAGACAAUGGCAGGAAAUGGAUGGAACCAGGAAUGAAGUCUAACCUGGAACCAGUAAGUUCUCCUCUGUGAGUAGGAGAUCUCAGUGGCACAGACACCAUACACCUUGGCGGAGGAGAUUGUGGGAAGAAAGUUUGUCUUUGGGUGAGAAGAUUUAAUCUUUACAAGAAAAGGAGCACUUUUAUUAAGGCCAUGAGCUGCAUGACAUCUUAGAGGUGCAACCCCUUGCAACAUCUGGGAAGCCUGUGUGUAACAGAUCCUUCACAAAGAUGCUUUCCUAAAACAUCUGUAUAGAUCUGCUCACUGCAAAACUGUAUUUGAAUCUGUCCCCCACAUAAUUUACUGUCCUGUUCCCUAACGUGAGGAGAAAUUCAUGACUUCAUUCUGAAAAGAAUACAGCCAUGGUUUCUUUGCAGUAAUGUAAGCUUGUGUUUUGAUAACCCGCUGAACAUCAAUAUUCACUUUGGUAUAAAAAAAUAAAAAAUAUAUUCUUA